CCACAGCUGCAACCGCGCAUUCUAAGGCAUUAAGUACUACUUUUUGUAGGCACCUUAGUUGGCGAGUCUAAGAAAAAAU
rnacentral:sRNA from 2 species